GACCUCGGAUCAGGUAGGGAUACCCGCUGAACUUAAGCAUAUCAAAAGUCCGGGAGGAAAAG
rnacentral:rRNA from 1 species